rnacentral:rRNA from 1 species
UUAAGUUAUUAAGGGCGCACGGUGGAUGCCUUGGCACUAGAAGCCGAUGAAGGACGUUACUAACGACGAUAUGCUUUGGGGAGCUGUAAGUAAGCUUUGAUCCAGAGAUUUCCGAAUGGGGAAACCCAGCAUGAGUUAUGUCAUGUUAUCGAUAUGUGAAUACAUAGCAUAUCAGAAGGCACACCCGGAGAACUGAAACAUCUUAGUACCCGGAGGAAGAGAAAGAAAAUUCGAUUCCCUUAGUAGCGGCGAGCGAAACGGGAAGAGCCCAAACCAACAAGCUUGCUUGUUGGGGUUGUAGGACACUCUAUACGGAGUUACAAAGGACGACAUUAGACGAAUCAUCUGGAAAGAUGAAUCAAAGAAGGUAAUAAUCCCGUAGUCGAAAAUGUUGUCUCUCUUGAGUGGAUCCUGAGUACGACGGAGCACGUGAAAUUCCGUCGGAAUUUGGGAGGACCAUCUCCUAAGGCUAAAUACUCUCUAGUGACCGAUAGCGAACCAGUACCGUGAGGGAAAGGUGAAAAGCACCCCGGAAGGGGAGUGAAAUAGAACCUGAAACCGUGUGCUUACAAGUAGUCAGAGCCCGUUAAUGGGUGAUGGCGUGCCUUUUGUAGAAUGAACCGGCGAGUUACGAUUUGAUGCAAGGUUAAGCAGUAAAUGUGGAGCCGUAGCGAAAGCGAGUCUGAAUAGGGCGUUUAGUAUUUGGUCGUAGACCCGAAACCAGGUGAUCUACCCUUGGUCAGGUUGAAGUUCAGGUAACACUGAAUGGAGGACCGAACCGACUUACGUUGAAAAGUGAGCGGAUGAACUGAGGGUAGCGGAGAAAUUCCAAUCGAACCUGGAGAUAGCUGGUUCUCUCCGAAAUAGCUUUAGGGCUAGCCUCAAGUGAUGAUUAUUGGAGGUAGAGCACUGUUUGGACGAGGGGCCCCUCUCGGGUUACCGAAUUCAGACAAACUCCGAAUGCCAAUUAAUUUAACUUGGGAGUCAGAACAUGGGUGAUAAGGUCCGUGUUCGAAAGGGAAACAGCCCAGACCACCAGCUAAGGUCCCAAAAUAUAUGUUAAGUGGAAAAGGAUGUGGCGUUGCCCAGACAACUAGGAUGUUGGCUUAGAAGCAGCCAUCAUUUAAAGAGUGCGUAAUAGCUCACUAGUCGAGUGACACUGCGCCGAAAAUGUACCGGGGCUAAACAUAUUACCGAAGCUGUGGAUUGUCCUUUGGACAAUGGUAGGAGAGCGUUCUAAGGGCGUUGAAGCAUGAUCGUAAGGACAUGUGGAGCGCUUAGAAGUGAGAAUGCCGGUGUGAGUAGCGAAAGACGGGUGAGAAUCCCGUCCACCGAUUGACUAAGGUUUCCAGAGGAAGGCUCGUCCGCUCUGGGUUAGUCGGGUCCUAAGCUGAGGCCGACAGGCGUAGGCGAUGGAUAACAGGUUGAUAUUCCUGUACCACCUAUAAUCGUUUUAAUCGAUGGGGGGACGCAGUAGGAUAGGCGAAGCGUGCGAUUGGAUUGCACGUCUAAGCAGUAAGGCUGAGUAUUAGGCAAAUCCGGUACUCAUUAAGGCUGAGCUGUGAUGGGGAGAAGACAUUGUGUCUUCGAGUCGUUGAUUUCACACUGCCGAGAAAAGCCUCUAGAUAGAAAAUAGGUGCCCGUACCGCAAACCGACACAGGUAGUCAAGAUGAGAAUUCUAAGGUGAGCGAGCGAACUCUCGUUAAGGAACUCGGCAAAAUGACCCCGUAACUUCGGGAGAAGGGGUGCUCUUUAGGGUUAACGCCCAGAAGAGCCGCAGUGAAUAGGCCCAAGCGACUGUUUAUCAAAAACACAGGUCUCUGCUAAACCGUAAGGUGAUGUAUAGGGGCUGACGCCUGCCCGGUGCUGGAAGGUUAAGAGGAGUGGUUAGCUUCUGCGAAGCUACGAAUCGAAGCCCCAGUAAACGGCGGCCGUAACUAUAACGGUCCUAAGGUAGCGAAAUUCCUUGUCGGGUAAGUUCCGACCCGCACGAAAGGCGUAACGAUUUGGGCACUGUCUCAACGAGAGACUCGGUGAAAUCAUAGUACCUGUGAAGAUGCAGGUUACCCGCGACAGGACGGAAAGACCCCGUGGAGCUUUACUGUAGCCUGAUAUUGAAAUUCGGCACAGCUUGUACAGGAUAGGUAGGAGCCUUUGAAACGUGAGCGCUAGCUUACGUGGAGGCGCUGGUGGGAUACUACCCUAGCUGUGUUGGCUUUCUAACCCGCACCACUUAUCGUGGUGGGAGACAGUGUCAGGCGGGCAGUUUGACUGGGGCGGUCGCCUCCUAAAAGGUAACGGAGGCGCUCAAAGGUUCCCUCAGAAUGGUUGGAAAUCAUUCAUAGAGUGUAAAGGCAUAAGGGAGCUUGACUGCGAGACCUACAAGUCGAGCAGGGUCGAAAGACGGACUUAGUGAUCCGGUGGUUCCGCAUGGAAGGGCCAUCGCUCAACGGAUAAAAGCUACCCCGGGGAUAACAGGCUUAUCUCCCCCAAGAGUUCACAUCGACGGGGAGGUUUGGCACCUCGAUGUCGGCUCAUCGCAUCCUGGGGCUGUAGUCGGUCCCAAGGGUUGGGCUGUUCGCCCAUUAAAGCGGUACGCGAGCUGGGUUCAGAACGUCGUGAGACAGUUCGGUCCCUAUCCGUCGUGGGCGUAGGAAAUUUGAGAGGAGCUGUCCUUAGUACGAGAGGACCGGGAUGGACAUACCUCUGGUGUACCAGUUGUCGUGCCAACGGCAUAGCUGGGUAGCUAUGUGUGGACGGGAUAAGUGCUGAAAGCAUCUAAGCAUGAAGCCCCCCUCAAGAUGAGAUUUCCCAACUUCGGUUAUAAGAUCCCUCAAAGAUGAUGAGGUUAAUAGGUUCGAGGUGGAAGCAUGGUGACAUGUGGAGCUGACGAAUACUAAUCGAUCGAAGACUUAAUCAA